rnacentral:rRNA from 1 species
UCCAGAGGGGGCAAGCGUUGUUCGGAAUUACUGGGCGUAAAGGGCGCGUGGGCGGCCUGUUAAGUCGAACGUGAAAUCCCCGGGCUCAACCCGGGAACUGCGUCCGAUACUGGCAGGCUUGAAUUCGGGAGAGGGAUGCGGAAUUCCAGGUGUAGCGGUGAAAUGCGUAGAUAUCUGGAGGAACACCGGUGGCGAAGGCGGCAUCCUGGACCGAGAUUGACGCUGAGGCGCGAAAGCCAGGGGAGCAAACGGG